rnacentral:rRNA from 1 species
AUUGAACGCUGGCGGCAUGCCUUACACAUGCAAGUCGAACGGCAGCACGGGUGCUUGCUCCUGGUGGCGAGUGGCGAACGGGUGAGUAAUACAUCGGAACAUGUCCUGUAGUGGGGGAUAGCCCGGCGAAAGCCGGAUUAAUACCGCAUACGAUCUACGGAUGAAAGCGGGGGACCUUCGGGCCUCGCGCUAUAGGGUUGGCCGAUGGCUGAUUAGCUAGUUGGUGGGGUAAAGGGCUACCAAGGCGACGAUCAGUAGCUGGUGUGAGAGGACGAGCAGCCACACUGGGGCUGAGACACGGCCCAGACUCCUACGAGAGGCAGCAGUGGGGAAUUUUGGACAAUGGGCGAAAGCCUGAUCCAGCAAUGCCGCGUGUGUGAAGAAGGCCUUCGGGUUGUAAAGCACUUUUGUCCGGAGAGAAAUCCUUGGCCCUAAUACGGUCGGGGGAUGACGGUACCGGAAGAAUAAGCACCGGCUAACUACGUG